rnacentral:lncRNA from 10 species
GAGACAGGGCAAAGGGCGAGGGAGCCGGGCCGGGGGUGUUUCGGGUGUCCGAAGGCGAGUCCGAUCGGACCAGGAAGUAGCUCAGGGGAGCCUGACCUCGACCCGCCUUUCUCCUCACACGAGCUGAGGAGGCAGGGAAGUACCGAGGGCAGUCAAGCCUCCCCUGGGGGUGGUUCCUGGGACUAGAUGGAGCUCAGUCUCUGGAUUCUCCCUCUUUCUCGGCCCUAUGCUUCCUGACAGACCUGGCCGCCAAACCCUGUAAUCGCCCUCCUUUAACCCAAGAAAGCAAGUCUUUCUGCCGUUUCUGAGCUGGCUUGAGCCUUAAGACUACCUUAAGGAGACGGAGUCUAACUGCGUUGCCCAGGUUGGAGUCCGGUGGCGUGAUCCUGGCGCACUGCAACCUCCGUUUCCUGGGUUCAAGCGAUUAUCCUGCCCCAGCCUCCCGAGUAGCUAGGAUUACAGGCGUGCACCGCUAUGCUCAGCUAAUUUUUGUAUUUUCAGUAGAGACAAGGUUUCACCAAGUUGGCCAGGCUGGUCUUGAACU